rnacentral:rRNA from 1 species
GACGAAGGGGGCUAGCGUUGUUCGGAAUUACUGGGCGUAAAGGGCGUGUAGGCGGUUUGUUAAGUCAGGCGUGAAAGCCCUGGGCUCAACCUGGGAGGUGCGUUUGAUACUGGCAAGCUUGAGUGCAGGAGAGGAUGGUGGAAUUCCCAGUGUAGAGGUGAAAUUCGUAGAUAUUGGGAAGAACACCGGUGGCGAAGGCGGCCAUCUGGACUGCAACUGACGCUGAGGCGCGAAAGCGUGGGGAGCAAACAGG